rnacentral:rRNA from 1 species
AGAGUUUGAUCCUGGCUCAGGAUGAACGCUAGCUACAGGCUUAACACAUGCAAGUCGAGGGGCAGCGGGAUUGAAGCUUGCUUCAAUUGCCGGCGACCGGCGCACGGGUGAGUAACGCGUAUCCAACCUUCCGUACACUCAGGGAUAGCCUUUCGAAAGAAAGAUUAAUACCUGAUGGUAUGAUGAGAUUGCAUGAUAGCAUCAUUAAAGAUUUAUCGGUGUACGAUGGGGAUGCGUUCCAUUAGGUAGUAGGCGGGGUAACGGCCCACCUAGCCGACGAUGGAUAGGGGUUCUGAGAGGAAGGUCCCCCACAUUGGAACUGAGACACGGUCCAAACUCCUACGGGAGGCAGCGGUGAGGAAUAUUGGUCAAUGGACGAGAGUCUGAACCAGCCAAGUAGCGUGAAGGAUGAAGGUCCU